AGAGUUUGAUCAUGGCUCAGGAUGAACGCUGGCGGCGUGCCUAACACAUGCAAGUCGAGCGAUUCUCUUCGGAGAAGACGCGGCGGACGGGUGAGUAACGCGUGGGUAACCUGCCUCAUACACAUGGAUAACAUACCGAAAGGUAUGCUAAUACAGGAUAAUAUAAGAGAUUCACAUGGAUUUCUUAUCAAAGCUCCGGCGGUAUGAGAUGGACCCGCGUCUGAUUAGCUAGUUGGUAAGGUAACGGCUUACCAAGGCGACGAUCAGUAGCCGACCUGAGAGGGUGAUCGGCCACAUUGGAACUGAGACACGGUCCAAACUCCUACGGGAGGCAGCAGUGGGGAAUAUUGCACAAUGGGCGGAAGCCUGAUGCCAGCAACGCCGCGUGAGUGAUGAAGGCCUUCGGGUCGUAAAACUCUGUCCUCAAGGAAGAUAAUGACGGUACUUGAGGAGGAAGCCCCGGCUAACUACGUGCCAGCAGCCGC
rnacentral:rRNA from 1 species